UAUUGCUGAUAAUACACGGCAAGUCUUUAUUCUCAUCACGACAAUCAAUGUUUGUUGUUAAAAGUUCAAAAUAGUCAAAUUUCAAUGUUAUUAUGGGACGAUAAGUGAAUAAUAUGUAUAGAUUUAAAUAUCUAUUUAUAUUUUUUUUGACUUAUGUCGGCAUAAUAAUAUAGAUACAGAGUGUUCCAACGAAAAAUUUAUCCCUCCCCCCUAUUGCCCCGCAUGAACAAGCAUGAGCAUAGCAAUUGUAGUCGAGUGGCACAUCAUUUGAAAGUUUUUGGGAAUAGAAUCAACCUUUCUCCCUUCGGGAGCCUCCAGCAUCAAGCCAUCCACACCGGUGAUGGAACUACGGCGAUAUAACGAUUGACCAUGACAUCAAGACUACAGCACCCAACAUGUUCAGCUGCAGGGGCCUAGGGCCGAACAUCUGCCCGGGUCUACAAGAAGUCAACAGUUGUACCAUUCAACAUCAAGAAGUUACCAUCGAACCAGAUACCAAAGCCAUAAGUAUAAUCUACAAAUUGUUAGUUUUUGGCAAGAAUUUGAAUAUAUUUGUUAAUGCAUUUUCUAAGUCAUAUUUUUAUUAUAUCUCUUUGAACAAUAAAUGAUUAGUUAAAAAUA